GUCAGUCGGUCAGUAUUGUUGACCUGCUAGUAGUCUAGCAUCUUUAUCAGACAUGAUAUUGUGAAAUAUUUCGAGCAAACGUGAUACGAUCCACCCCUCUGAAAAGUCGCCAAAAAUUCUUUUAGCUUACCGUCAACCACAAAAGGUCUGCUGAAAAGAGUUUGGAUAGCUUUCCCCCACAACAACAGGAAAUUUUAUAAUUUCAAAUACGCCAUCUAUAUAAAUAAAAAUGGCAUGGUGUUUGUAUGUCACGAAUAGGCUCCGGAACGGGCCAACGAAUCCACACCAUUCUUUUAGUGUUUCAUUCGUGUAGGGCUCCGACGUGUUCGUACGAAAAAAUAAUUGGGAAAAUCGACCGAGAACGCACCAAAAACGAGAAAGUUUGAAAUUCCAUUUUGCAGGGCGUUUUUCUACAGGGCUGCAUGUCAAAAACACAGUAGGCAAGCAGAACGACGUUUGCCGGGACAGCUAGUAUUCAAUAAAAAUACAAGAAAACUUUAAAAGAAAAUGAAUAGGAAGCUUCUGGAGCUUGUUCGGGAGUUAUUUUCCCUUUAAAUUAACCAUGUGCUCAAAAGGGGAUCAAUUAUGUAACCCAUUUUUGAAAACUACAUCAUAAGACAUGCCUCCAUAAAAACACAGUUUCGAAAAC